AGAUUUGAUCCUGGCUCAGAACGAACGCUGGCGGCAGGCUUAACACAUGCAAGUCGAGCGCCCCGCAAGGGGAGCGGCAGACGGGUGAGUAACGCGUGGGAAUCUACCUUUUCCUACGGAAUAACUCAGGGAAACUUGUGCUAAUACCGUAUGUGCCCUUCGGGGGAAAGAUUUAUCGGCAAAGGAUGAGCCCGCGUUGGAUUAGCUAGUUGGUGGGGUAAAGGCCUACCAAGGCGACGAUCCAUAGCUGGUCUGAGAGGAUGUUCAGCCACAUUGGGACUGAGACACGGCCCAAACUCCUACGGGAGGCAGCAGUGGGGAAUAUUGGACAAUGGGCGCAAGCCUGAUCCAGCCAUGCCGCGUGAGUGAUGAAGGCCCUAGGGUUGUAAAGCUCUUUCAACGGUGAAGAUAAUGACGGAACCGAGAAGAG
rnacentral:rRNA from 1 species